rnacentral:rRNA from 1 species
UUUUGCCCGGUGCACUCUUCUGCUGUCAGGCCAGCAUCGGUUCGGGCGGUCGGAUAAAGGCUUCGGGAAUGUAGCUCCUCUCGAGGAGUGUUAUAGCCCGUUGCGAAAUGCGGCCAGCCUGAACUGAGGUCCGCGCUUCGGCUAGGAUGCUGGCGUAAUGGUUGUAAGCGGCCCGUCUUGAAACACGGACCAAGGAGUCUAACAUCUGUGCGAGUGUUUGGGUGUCAAACCCGUACGCGUAAUGAAAGUGAACGGAGGCGGGAACCCCUCGGGGUGCACCGUCGACCGAUCCUGAUGUCUUCGGAUGGAUUUGAGUAAGAGCAUAGCUGUUGGGACCCGAAAGAUGGUGAACUAUGCCUGAAUAGGGUGAAGCCAGAGGAAACUCUGGUGGAGGCUCGCAGCGGUUCUGACGUGCAAAUCGAUCGUCAAAUUUGGGCAUAGGGGCGAAAGACUAAUCGAACUAUCUAGUAGCUGGUUCCUGCCGAAGUUUCCCUCAGGAUAGCAGUAACGUUUUCAGUUUUAUGAGGUAAAGCGAAUGAUUAGAGGCCUGGGGGUUGAAACAACCUUCACCUAUUCUCAAACUUUAAAUAUGUAAGAAGUCCUUGUUACUUAGUUGAACGUGGACAUUUGAAUGUAUCGUUACUAGUGGGCCAUUUUUGGUAAGCAGAACUGGCGAUGCGGGAUGAACCGAACGCGGAGUUAAGGUGCCGGAAUGCACGCUCAUCAGACACCACAAAAGGUGUUAGUUCAUCUA